AUUGAACGCUGGCGGAAUGCUUUACGCAUGCAAGUCGAACGGCAGCACGGGUGCUUGCACCUGGUGGCGAGUGGCGAACGGGUGAGUAAUACAUCGGAACGUACCCAGUUAUGGGGGAUAACUAACCGAAAGGUUAGCUAAUACCGCGUACGCCCUGAGGGGGAAAGCGGGGGACCGUAAGGCCUCGCGUAAUUGGAGCGGCCGAUGUCUGAUUAGCUAGUUGGUGAGGUAAGGGCUCACCAAGGCGACGAUCAGUAGCAGGUCUGAGAGGAUGAUCUGCCACACUGGAACUGAGACACGGUCCAGACUCCUACGGGAGGCAGCAGUGGGGAAUUUUGGACAAUGGGCGAAAGCCUGAUCCAGCCAUUCCGCGUGAGUGAAGAAGGCCUUCGGGUUGUAAAGCUCUUUCGGCAGGGAAGAAACGCUCUGGGAUAAUACUCCGGGGUAAUGACGGUACCUGAGGAAGAAGCACCGGCUAACUACGUGCCAGCAGCCGCAGUAA
rnacentral:rRNA from 1 species